UAGGGAAUCUUCCGCAAUGGGCGAAAGCCUGACGGAGCAACGCCGCGUGAGUGAUGAAGGUCUUAGGAUCGUAAAACUCUGUUAUUAGGGAAGAACAAACGUGUAAGUAACUGUGCACGUCUUGACGGUACCUAAUCAGAAAGCCACGGCUAACUACGUGCCAGCAGCCGCGGUAAUACGUAGGUGGCAAGCGUUAUCCGGAAUUAUUGGGCGUAAAGCGCGCGUAGGCGGUUUUUUAAGUCUGAUGUGAAAGCCCACGGCUCAACCGUGGAGGGUCAUUGGAAACUGGAAAACUUGAGUGCAGAAGAGGAAAGUGGAAUUCCAUGUGUAGCGGUGAAAUGCGCAGAGAUAUGGAGGAACA
rnacentral:rRNA from 1 species